CAACAGAAGAGGGGUCCAUGUGUACAGAUAGGGCUGGAGUGAUCCACGUUCCAACAGCAGGCCCUUUAACCUCACUUGAAUAUGGAGGCUGCAUAGGUCACAAGUCUGAAGACUACGAGCUACCUUUGCUUAAAAGGAACCACACCAUCAGUGGUAGCUAACUGCUAGAUUGUUCUCCAGCAUAUCAGGGCUACAUUGCAUUGCUUGAGUUGCGCUUCAGUUAACGUAGAGAACUUCACCGAACCACACAUAACCAUUGAAGUAACCUGCUGUUUACAGUCUCUAUAAUGCUCUGCCAAGGGAGUUAUUUUACAGUGACAAAACUUCUCUUUUGGUGCCCUGACACAUCCUAGGACUUUGAUGUUGGUAAUUCUUUCCCCCCAGCAAAUGUUGGUUCUAAAUCCACAGAACUACUUGAGAAACCAGAUGCAAAAUUAUGAUCUUGAAGCUGGGAAGUCCAAGAGCAAGGUCUGGCAGCAGUGUCAGGGGAAGACUCUUUCUCUUUCUUGCAGAUGGCUGGCUUCUCACUGUGUUCUCAAAGGGUAAGAUUGGAGAGGGGAGGAUACCAGUUCCUGAAAGGAGAGGAGUUUGAAAGAGAAACUUAAAGCAUCUGGGUAGUCUCCCAGAGGAUGUGGAAGCCACAGAGUCAUCUAGAUUUACUUCCCAGUUUCCUCAUCCAUGUUAAAGGUAUACCCCCAGAUGGCCUGAAGUAACUGAAGAGUCACAAAAGAAGUGCAAAUGCCCUGCC